UCCGUUCUUUGUUCUCAUUUUCUCAAUGUUCUUCACUGGGAUUUUUCCAGGUGUUCGUUCUUUCGUUCGCUCGUUCUUUCAAAAAUUGGUUGUUCUUUUGUUCUUCGGUCCUGUUCGUUCUUCCAUCCCUGAUUAAUUUUCCAAUUUAGAACUAAUUUAUGAUCAUAAAGUUUGUUUACUUUAUACCUAAUGAAAUUCUACAUGCAAAGAUUGCAAAGUGAACGCACCCCGGGACUUCGGGUCCAUUCGGGGAUGUACGUAGAUAGCCGAAGUGUAUUUAGUGUUAUUGUUAUUUCGUGAACUUCUCUAAUUAUUUUUGCGAUUGCGAAUCUGAAUCAAACUAUGUAAUUUCAAAUUAAUAAAAACAUUUGGUCAAAAUUUGACAACUUAGGAGACAAGUAAUCAAAACUGAAGCACCAGUUGAGGCAGUUGAGUAUCUUAAAGUCGUUUGUUGAAGUUAUUCAAUUCAAAAAUAGAAUAUUAGUAUGGUUUUGAUAACGUUUCUCCUCCAUCCCCCAGAUUUAUCGCAUAAAGUACGAUAGGACUACAUACGACAUACAUAAUACUUCUAUUUUAAAAUCAAAGUUUAAUGAUAGAUGCAUAAUUAAUUACUCGAUAAAAACACUGGAAUAUUAAGAGUUAUGUAAUAAUAACAACUCAGUGACUCAUUUUUAAGUUGCACUACAUGUCAAUGUCAGUUCAAGCAGAAUAGGCCAGCAAAAGUUUUCGAAUAUUCAGUACAUCGCUGAUUUUUCAAUAACACGAAACGCAGGCUAUAAUAUCAAAUUUUGAAGUUAUUUAAACGGAUUAUUUUAUUUUUUCUAGAAUGGAUGAGUAACGUGAGACGAGUGAUAAUUUGAUAACAAGUUCACGAAUUCACGAUACAGUGUUGGUUGUUUAAAACUAUCUUUUCAGACAUUGUUUAAACUAAUUUAAAUGCCAAGAAAAAAACAUUGUUGUUUAAAACGUAAUUUCUAUUUAAAACUGUUUUUAUUGUUUAAAACUUGUUUUUUUUGAGACCCCGUUUUUUUUUGUUUUUUUUUUUGAAUUAAUUAAAGAUUUUUGACCAUAGAAUUAUCAAAAAAAAAUUCAAAAAUGAUGUUUUUUUUACACGGAUUUUACAAGAAUCCAUUAUCUAAAGUAUGGAUUUUACAAGAAUCCAUAAUCUGAAUUCUGGGACUCCAAUAGUCCAGCUGGAUUGUUAGUUCAUUUCUGAUGAAGUAAAAUCUAAAAUCCAUUCCUAUAAUCUACUACCUCAGUAGAUUAUGGAUUUUCAAUUUUAAUCUGUUUAGGUAUAAUCCGGUAAAAAAAAGUCGGAUUUUCAAAAACUUAUUUUAUAUUAUUUUUUGUAAAAAAAAAAUUGACAAUACCUAAAGGCAAUAUACUUUUUGAAUUUUAUUUACUUUUUUUGAUCGAACGAGAACAAUAAAAUCAAACAAAGUUACAAAGUACCAAAAAAGUCUGAAAAAAAAACAAAAAACUGAAUACUGAAUCUGAAAAACCACAUUUACGUUUACACAUUGAAAAAAAAACGAAAUUUUUUGUUUUAAACGUGUUUUAAAAACGUUUAAAACAGGUCAAAUUUUACACUUGAAUUUGGGUUUAAUAAAAAAACUGUUUUUUGUUUUAUUUUAAAAAACCUGUUUUUUGUUUUAUUUAAAAAACAAGCAAGGUCACAGGUGACCUGGCAACGGGUUCCCCAUAAAAUGAUACGAAUUACCAUUAAAAAAAUAUUGUUUUAUUAAUUAAUUACGAGUACUAUAUAGGUACCUACUUUUGAUAAACACGAGGAAAAUUGAAAAUGGUGGAAAAUGGCCUUGCUUUUGAAAGUGAAAAGUGAAACAAAAAAACAAAAACAAUCAAUAAACAGAAGGAGGAUGUUUUGUUAUUUUUGUUUGUUUUUGGAAAUGUGUUUCAAAAAAAAUAUUAAAUUAUUAGGUACUUCUACUUAAUAAUAAUUUUAAGGAAAUAUUCGAAUUGUUUUCCAAAUUAUUUGGGCCUGCAUUUUGGCAGAUUUUCUUAUUCACAAACGUUUAUAAAAAUGUUGACAAAAAACGAAUAUUAUUUGGGGUUCUUGAGAAUUUUUUGAAUAAUUAUUAGAUUGGUAGAAUAUACAAAAUAAUUAGAAAAUUUUAGAUAAAUUUGUUGUUGUCGAAAAUUCGAAUCGUUGAUAUUAGCAAGGUACCACAUUUCAUUCAUCUUCUGUUGGUGAUGAGCAUAGCAUAAGCGUAAAAACAUUUUUUCUAAACUGACGUUCUCAUUCCACUUAUAUCACUUAUAUAUAUUAUAUAUUGUGUACUAUGUAAGUACUAAGUACCUACUUGCUGCUAAAAAAAAAAAAAUGAUUGAAUAUUGAAUGCUCCAUAAAUGACAAAUGUUUAUAAAAAUGAUGAAGUUGAUCACUGUGGUGAUACAUUUUUUGAAUUGUUACUUAGUUUUUCGUAAUAAUUUCUCAAAAAUACAUUGAAAUAGUCACCAGAAAAGUAAUUGACGUACAGAAAUGAUGAUGCUUUAAUAGCUUUAGCAUUAGCUUUACUCGUUGCUGCUAAAAAAAUAUCAUUGCUCAAUUAAAUUAAAAAUUUUAUGGUCAAUCUUCUCCAAUUUGCAUUCACCUGGAUUUAAUCUAGAAAUAAGUAUGUUCAACAUUUCACAUUACAUAAAUAAAAAACAAAAAUCAUGUUUGAGACAGUGA